rnacentral:rRNA from 1 species
UNAUGGGCGAGAGCCUGAACCAGCCAGUAGCGUGAAGGAUGACUGCCCUAUGGGUUGUAAACUUCUUUUAUAAAGGAAUAAAGUCGGGUAUGGAUACCCGUUUGCAUGUACUUUAUGAAUAAGGAUCGGCUAACUCCGUGCCAGCAGCCGCGGUAAUACGGAGGAUCCGAGCGUUAUCCGGAUUUAUUGGGUUUAAAGGGAGCGUAGAUGGAUGUUUAAGUCAGUUGUGAAAGUUUGCGGCUCAACCGUAAAAUUGCAGUUGAUACUGGAUAUCUUGAGUGCAGUUGAGGCAGGCGGAAUUCGUGGUGUAGCGGUGAAAUGCUUAGAUAUCACGAAGAACUCCGAUUGCGAAGGCAGCCUGCUAAGCUGCAACUGACAUUGAGGCUCGAAAGUGUGGGUAUCAAACAGGAUUAGAUACCCUGGUAGUCCAAGGGCGAAUUC